rnacentral:tRNA from 1 species
CGCCCGUAGCUCAGUUGGAUAGAGCGUCUGGCUACGAACCAGAAGGUCGGGAGUUCGAAUCUCUCCGGGCG